GUUUGAUCCUGGCUCAGAACGAACGCUGGCGGCAGGCCUAACACAUGCAAGUCGAGCGCGCCCUUCGGGGUGAGCGGCGGACGGGUUAGUAACGCGUGGGAACGUGCCCAGAUCUAAGGAAUAGCCACUGGAAACGGUGAGUAAUACCUUAUACGCCCUUCGGGGGAAAGAUUUAUCGGAUUUGGAUCGGCCCGCGUUAGAUUAGGUAGUUGGUGGGGUAAUGGCCUACCAAGCCUACGAUCUAUAGCUGGUUUUAGAGGAUGAUCAGCAACACUGGGACUGAGACACGGCCCAGACUCCUACGGGAGGCAGCAGUGGGGAAUCUUGGACAAUGGAGGCAACCCUGAUCCAGCCAUGCCGCGUGAGUGAUGAAGGCCUUAGGGUCGUAAAGCUCUUUCGCCUGUGAUGAUAAUGACAGUAGCAGGUAAAGAAACCCCGGCUAACUCCGUG
rnacentral:rRNA from 1 species